rnacentral:rRNA from 1 species
CCGGCGCACGGGUGAGUAACACGUAUCCAACCUGCCGUCUACUCUUGGACAGCCUUCUGAAAGGAAGAUUAAUACAAGAUGGCGUCAUGAGUUCACAUGUUCACAUGAUUAAAGGUAUUCCGGUAGACGAUGGGGAUGCGUUCCAUUAGAUAGUAGGCGGGGUAACGGCCCACCUAGUCUUCGAUGGAUAGGGGUUCUGAGAGGAAGGUCCCCCACAUUGGAACUGAGACACGGUCCAA